UACGUAGGGGGCAAGCGUUGUCCGGAUUCAUUGGGCGUAAAGGGCGUGUAGGCGGCCAGGUAGGUCGGUUGUGAAAACUGGAGGCUCAACCUUCAGAGGUCGACCGAAACCAUCUGGCUAGAGUCCGGGAGAGGAGAGUGGAAUUCCUGGUGUAGCGGUGAAAUGCGCAGAUAUCAGGAAGAACACCCGUGGCGAAAGCGGCUCGCUGGAACGGUACUGACGCUGAGACGCGAAAGCGUGGGGAGCGAACAGG
rnacentral:rRNA from 1 species